rnacentral:rRNA from 1 species
UACGGAGGAUGCGAGCGUUAAUCGGAAUUACUGGGCGUAAAGCGUGCGCAGGCGGUUAUGUAAGACAGAUGUGAAAUCCCCGGGCUCAACCUGGGAACUGCAUUUGUGACUGCAUAGCUAGAGUACGGCAGAGGGGGAUGGAAUUCCGCGUGUAGCAGUGAAAUGCGUAGAUAUGCGGAGGAACGCCGAUGGCGAAGGCAAUCCCCUGGACCUGUACUGACGCUCAUGCACGAAAGCGUGGGGAGCAAACAGG